UACAGAGGUCCCGAGCGUUGUUCGGAUUCACUGGGCGUAAAGGGUGCGUAGGUGGCGAGGUAAGUCGGAUGUGAAAGCUCGGAGCUCAACUCCGAAAUGGCAUUGGAAACUACCUUGCUCGAGGGUUGGAGGGGGGACUGGAAUACUUGGUGUAGCAGUGAAAUGCGUAGAUAUCAAGUGGGACACCAGUGGCGAAGGCGAGUCCCUGGACAACUCCUGACACUGAGGCACGAAAGCUAGGGGAGCAAACAGG
rnacentral:rRNA from 1 species